CCCAAGUUACUCCCUCCUGUCUCCCUAUUUGUAACGCGGCAGAAAAUCAUGUACCUGCUUGUCUCUCUGAGGCUCAAAGUAUAGCCAGAGGGCUGAGCCGCUGCUGAGUGUCAGCCGCCUCCUUGAAAUUCAGGGUCAGCAGGAGGACAGACCCGCAAGAACACUCGCAAAGGGAGAGCGAUCUUUGCAAGGCAGAUGGAAGAACAAAUAUUAAGCAAGAAAAUGUGUGGAUGAAAAGGACUGUUUCCAAGACUGAAAACAAACUAUCCUUCCCUGAAAUGUUUCUACUGAUGAUGAGUGUCACCUGUGUACUCCCUGCCUGUCUGUUCCACCCUUCAUGUAAAAGUAAACUCUACCCCCAGUGUGGGACUCAAACUCAAGACCCUGAGAUCAAGAGUGGUGUGCUCUACUGACCGAGCCAGCCAAACACCCCGGAUCCUACCUCACGUGUAUCACCAACCAGCUGUAUGGCCCUGGAGGCCCAUACAACCUCUGCUUUCAAACCUG